GAUGAACGCUGGCGGCGUGCCUAAUACAUGCAAGUCGAACGAGGUCUUCGGACCUAGUGGCGAACGGGUGAGUAACACGUUGGUACCUACCCCGAAGUGGGGAAUAACUGCCCGAAAGGGUGGCUAAUACCGCAUAAUACCGCAAGGUUAAAGCAGUAAUGCGCUUCGGGAGGGGCCUGCGUCCCAUUAGCUAGUUGGUAGGGUAAUGGCCUACCAAGGCGACGAUGGGUAGCUGGAUCGAGAGGUUGACCAGCCACACUGGGACUGAGAUACGGCCCAGACUCCUACGGGAGGCAGCAGUAAGGAAUUUUCCACAAUGGACGAAAGUCUGAUGGAGCAACGCCGCGUGCAGGAUGACGGCCUUCGGGUUGUAAACUGCUUUUAUACGGGAAGAUUAUGACGGUACCGUAUGAAUAAGGACCGGCUAACUACGUGCCAGCAGCCGCGGUAA
rnacentral:rRNA from 1 species